AUUGAACGCUGGCGGCAGGCCUAACACAUGCAAGUCGAGCGGCAGCGGGAAAGUAGCUUGCUACUUUUGCCGGCGAGCGGCGGACGGGUGAGUAAUGCCUGGGGAUCUGCCCAGUCGAGGGGGAUAACUACUGGAAACGGUAGCUAAUACCGCAUACGCCCUACGGGGGAAAGCAGGGGACCUUCGGGCCUUGCGCGAUUGGAUGAGCCCAGGUGGGAUUAGCUAGUUGGUGAGGUAAUGGCUCACCAAGGCGACGAUCCCUAGCUGGUCUGGGAGGAUGAUCAGCCACACUGGAACUGAGACACGGUCCAGACUCCUACGGGAGGCAGCAGUGGGGAAUAUUGCACAAUGGGGGAAACCCUGAUGCAGCCAUGCCGCGUGUGUGAAGAAGGCCUUCGGGUUGUAAAGCACUUUCAGCGAGGAGGAAAGGUUGGUAGCUAAUAACUGCCAGCUGUGACGUUACUCGCAGAAGAAGCACCGGCUAACUCCGUGCCAGCAGCCGCGGUAACAC
rnacentral:rRNA from 1 species